UUCGGUGGUAUAGGAUUGGCUCGCGUGACAUUAGUUUGAUGGUGAGGUAACGGCUCACCAUGGCGAUGAUGUCUAGGGGUUCUGAGAGGAAGGCCCCCCACACUGGGACUGAGACACGGCCCAGACUCCUACGGGAGGCAGCAGUGAGGGAUAUUGGACAAUGGAUGGAAAUCUGAUCCAGCCAUGCCGCGUGCAGGAAGACGGCCCUAUGGGUUGUAAACUGCUUUUAUACGGGAGCAAUAAGGUCUACGCGUAGACUGAUGAGAGUACCGUAUGAAUAAGCAUCGGCUAACUCCGUGCCAGCAGCCGCGGUAAUACGGAGGAUGCGAGCGUUAUCCGGAUUUAUUGGGUUUAAAGGGUGCGUAGGCGGCUUUGUAAGUCAGCGGUGAAAUUUUGCAGCUUAACUGUAACAGUGCCGUUGAUACUGUGAGGCUAGGAUUUGGUUGCUGUGGGUGGAAUGUGUGGUGUAGCGGUGAAAUGCUUAGAGAUCACACAGAAUAUCGAUUGCGAAGGCAGCUCACAAAGCCAAGAUUGACGCUGAGGCACGAAAGUGUGGGGAUCAAACAGGAUUAGAUACCCUGGUAGUCCACACUGUAAACGAUGAUAACUCGCUGUCGGCGAUAUACAGUCGGUGGCCAAGCGAAAGCGAUA
rnacentral:rRNA from 1 species